rnacentral:lncRNA from 1 species
AUAAAAAGGGAAUAAUAAUCGAUCGGCAAAUUGGGAUUAUGACUCCGCAGAUACUGAUAGUAUGAUGACAGACAUCUCCUUGGCCUCUUGAUUAUACACCAACAAGAUGUCGAAGGCAUUAUUUACAUCUCAUCUCAGCAAUCCAGCUAGCAGCUAAGAGCAAGCGUCACAAGGAUCAUGCAGUGGAGGGUUAUGUGACUUUUGCUGAAUUGGAUAGAGUUCUAGCCGUGAUAAAUUUCAUCUAGUGAGAAAGUAUAGUUUGAAGGAAGAGGGUUUGGUCAUGGUGUUGAUAAGCAGGAUGAAAGCAUAGGACCCGACCAUCACACAAGAUGAAUAGUUGGCAAGAGUAGGUCAAGUGAUUUAAUCUGUAUCCAAGAUAUUCCUAAAGUAUAGAAGACCAUAUUAUAGGCCGAAGUGAAGAAAGACGACCAAUGUAAGAUAUUUGAAAAUCUGAAAAAAAUAUGAUUAUUAGCCUAACAAUUGUCGGGCAACCAUGCUGGCAAACAUGAAUAGUGAUGGAUAACUAGUGUCAUAUAUUAAAACCAUCAGAGUGUGCAAUUAUUAUCUAUUAGUAUUAAUAAAUAGAAAUUGUACUUUGUAAUAGAACUUCGGCAAUCAAUUUAAUGUAUUCUAUCUUAUUUUAGUCUGUCGUAUUUUCUACCUUAGGAGUAAGAGUAACUUAACUUUCAAUAUGGUAGCCCAACACUACAUUAAUGUAUUGUAUCUUAUUUUAAUCUGUCAUAUUUUCUACCUUAGGAGUAAGAGUAACUUAACUUUCAAUAUGGUAGCCCAACACUAUAUCCUUAUCGUAGCCCGAUGCUAUGCCCCUCCAUUGUAGCCUAACGCUACAUCCCUUAUCUAUCUCCAUUGAAUGGUGGUGUGAAGGUGGCAAAAAUCUACAAAGGUCAAACAUCUGGACCUAUGCUACUCUCUAGCAUCCUAACUUCGAUCAGUUUUCGGCUGAUCCGAUAUUGGUGGUAUGCUUGCAUGCACUAACUCGCACUACUUAGCUUGUCACCAUUCUUCUCUACUAUAUCUAGAUGGGACUUCAUCGGUGGAUCCUGCAACAUGUCUAGAUAGAACGUAAAGAGCACCAGCAGUUAUAUAUAUUAUAUUAACUUUUUGUUAUGCAUAUUAUAAUAAUC